rnacentral:snRNA from 1 species
GCCAAACUUGGCAUGUGAU